CAUAGCCACUUCCUUUUCGCUGUCCCUGUGGGCCUGGCAGCUGCCAGGAUGAGGCUGUCCUGCGGCCUGUGGCUGUGGCUCUCCUUGAUGAAAGUCCUUCAGGGCCAGACCCCAACCCCCCCGCCACUCCCGUCCCCGAUGCAGAGCUUCCAAGGAAACCAGUUCCAGGGGGAGUGGUUCGUCUUGGGCCUGGCGGGCAACAGCUUCAGGCCGGAGCACAGGGCGCUGCUGAACCCUUUCACCGCCACUUUCGAGCUCAGCAAGGACGGCCGCUUUCAGGUCUGGAACGCCAUGACUCGAGGCCAGCGCUGUGACACAUGGUCUUAUGUGCUGAUUCCAGCCACACAGCCCGGGCAGUUCACUGUGGACCACGGCAGGGAGCCCGGGGCGGACAGAGAGGAGAUCCGGGUGGUGAACAGCGACUACACCCAGUUUGCGCUGACGCUGUCCCGCAGACACACGGGCAGCCUGGCCAUCCUCAGGAUCAGCCUGCUGGGCAGGAGCUGGUUCCUGCCUCCCGGGACGCUGGACCUGUUCAUCUGCCUGGGCAGAGCUCACGGCCUCUCGGACGACAAUAUUGUCUUCCCAGAUGUGACUGGCUUCUCAUCCCAGGUCAGUGGCUGUUGAAGCUUGAAGCAGCUCCUGCCGCGCCCAGCCCUGCCUCAGGGCUUCCAGCUCUGCCCUCUGCUCUCAAACCUGAAUAAAUGCACCAAGCCCGGAACCCCAGAGUGUGACCACUGUGACCUUGGCUGGGCAGGGGGACAGGGACAAGGAGACCACUGACCCUCCAGGGCCAAGAGAGCUCCUUCCCUGCCCCCCCACGGCCCCCUCCCCAGCUCAGAGCUCCUUCUCUGGUCCCCCACAGCCCCCUCCCUGGCUCAGAGCUCCUUCCCUGGCACCCCAUGGCCCCCCGCCAGCUCAGAGCGCCUUCCCUGGCACCCGCCGGCUCUCUCCAGCCAGCAUGUGUGUGUGUGUCAAUGAGAGUGUGCACAUGUGUGUUCGUGCGUGAGUCUUUGCACGUGAUUGUGGGUUGUUGGCAGGGCAGCUCCUGGGGGCCACAUCCUCUGCUCCUCAUCCUGCCCUUGGGCCCUCGGCUGUAUGAGUCGCAGACCCUUCUGCAAUUGCACCCUGGCCGGCACUCAGGGCCGCUGCAUCAGGUGCAGUGGGCUGAGCUCGCCCCGGGAAUACUCGGCCCCUGAGGUGUCCCAAGCAGUGGCUGCGCUGUCAGGCAGGCUCACCUGGAGCUCCCAGGGCCCUGGAGCAGGAGGAGGCCUGGAUGCAGAUGCCUCAGGCCUGGAAGAGGGGAUGUGGGGACAAGCAGCUGCAGACUGGAGCCUGCUGGGCACAGAGACACGAAGGUCUGAGGCCACAACCCAAAACCCCACUCCCAGCCGGAGCCCCCCAACCCUGACUGGACAGCUUGCAAGAUGGCUGCAUUUGGAAGCCCAGCCCCAGCGGCCAGCCAGAGCAGCCUCUCUCUCAGUCCUGCCAUGUCUGUGUCCCCCACUGUCCUCCAGGCAGGGAGAGGAGGGCACUGCCCAGGGCAGCCAUGGACCCUCGUGGUCUCUGGCCUUGCUAGAGAGCAGAGAGCAUCCAGAGGCCCCCAGCUUGUCACAUCUGCAGGCACGUGCUGAUCUGUACACAUUUGCAUAUGCGUGAGUGUGUGUGCACAUGGCUGUGCACAUGUCAAGGACCAGAGGCAGGAAUCAGAAGGGCACGGUGGGUGCCCCGCUUUCACCCACUGGGAAUACCCCUCUGCUCAGGAGCCUGGCCCCGCUGAGAAUCCUUCCACCAUCACGUGCACCCCUGCUGGGCAGGCUGUGUGGGAUCCAAGCAGAUUCUGAAAGUGGAGGGUGGGCAGAGACAGCAGACGUCCGGGAAUCCCUCCUGCCCUGAUGACCUCAACAAGGAGGCUGAGGCUAAAAGCAGCAAGUUUGGUUGUGUCUGGAUUGAGAGACUUUCUGUACCAGAUGGUCACGAGGACACAAGCCUGGGUGUCAGGAAUCCUGGACCACGGCCUGGCACGUAUGGACCAUGGCCUGGCGUGUGUGGACCACGGCCUGGUGUGUAUUGGAUUUCCCCCCGGGAAGGCUGAAAGUGAUAGUGGCUGUCUUUUGGCAGAAAGGGCCUGUUGCUGUUCCUUCCUGAACAUGUCAAGGAAGGUUCACUCCACCCUGGGAUGGGGGUCAGACACAGGGUCCCCAGAGCAAUGGCCUCCCUCUCCACCGCCUCAGCCCUUCCCCUCACCUCUCCUCCUGCUGGGCCAUGGUGUGACGCCCGGCUGCUGCAUGGGGUCCAGGCAAGGAUCCUGGCCAAAAGAGAGGAGUGGCCUGGGGAGCUCGGCUUGAGCAAGGAGCCCCACCCCGCCCUGACAACCUAAGGGAGACUCCGAAGGCCACUUCUCCCUCCUGACCUGGCACGGCCUUCGUCUUCAGUUCCUCUGCACAAAUGGUUCCGGAAGGCUGCCUGGUCACUUGGUGGGGUCACUCUCCCCUGCCAGCUUCCCUCCCCCAAGGCAGCGAACACAACCCCGGUUGGAUCAUAACCACCAAACGCAGGUGGGACCCGCCGUCUUCUUGGCACCGGGCUGCACCCUCCUGUGGUGGCCAGCUCCCCAGACACAGGCAGGGGCAGGGAGUCAGACUCCCCAGCGGUCCCUCCCGCUCCCCUGCU